rnacentral:misc_RNA from 1 species
UGGAGAUAUUAAUCUCUCUAGAGAUGCCUUCGCUCAAAUUGCUGAUGUUAAUGCCGGCAUUGUUAAAGUUCAAUAUGACCAGGCUUGAAGCUUGGAAUAGAAUUUUUCGAAGGCAAACUACUUAAGUAGCAUAGAAUAAGAAACAGAUGAUGAUGAAGCUUGUCUAGUGUGAAAAUCAUAUAUAUGAGAAUAAUAAUUUUAAAGUAUUAAAUUAAUGGGACUCUUAUCAUGUAUCUUUUGGUUUUUCAAUCAAGUACUCAUGGAUAAGCAAUGACUAGCUCUUGCGACUACCAUUAUGUGUUGGUCUUGCUAUAUAAUAGUAAUUUUAUUCAUAAAAAAA